rnacentral:pre_miRNA from 1 species
ACAGUCUAGGCCUGAUCUAAAGCACACUGAAGUCAAUGGGUGUCUUUCCAUUGGCUUCAGCAUGGUUUGGAUCAGGCCCGCUACGU